CAGUGUGUGCAUAGCGGCCGGCUGGCCGACGUGCACUGCGUUGACGGAGGGUAGCGUUUCGCUACCAAACCGAUCUUUUUUUUCAUUCUCUCUUUCUCACUUUGACAUACGAGUAGAAAGAGAGAACAGUAUAUACAUAUUAUAUAUACUGUUAUACAUAUAUACAGAGAGCAUACACAACACUUUAUCCACUUUUGUUUCCUUCCUUUAAACCAGCCAUAGACAGAGACGUUCGUUGCACACACGUUUGGUUUUCGUCCCUCGUUAAAACACUGGUGCGUUCGUUCCAGCAAAGGGACGCGCGCGCUGUCAUAUUUCUUCCUUUGUUAUUUUCUCUGUCACAACCACAUAAUCGUCGUCGCCGUCGUCGCCGUCGUCGUCACGUCGGGACGAGAAGAAGCGUGUGCGCGAUCGGGGCCAACGCAAGAAGGCGUCGUCGUGGCAGCGUUCCUGUCGUUUCUAACGUCCCCGGCGUCGUCCCUGGCGACGGCGACGGCGACGGUGGCGUCGAGGGGGCCCACAGGCCCCUCGUCGAUAUCGUCGAGGAAGAAGAAGGCACGGAGCCAAGGAUGGAACUCGAUGAGUUUCUAUUAGGCUUUGGAAACGAUAAGAAUUUGUAUUACUGUGCGCCGUAUUCUGCGCGGGCGUUACCCUGUUGUCAUCGUCGUCGUCGUCGUCCUCGUCCUCGUCCUCGUCCUCGUCCUCGUCCUUCUUCUUCUUCUUCUCUACCUCGCGUCGAGGAUGUUACUCGUCUCAGCGCCACGAGUGGCAGACUAUCCUCCAAACGGAGAAGGUACCCGGAAGCAGUAUGCCUUCUUUAGCUGUGAAGAAUAAACCGCGCGUGUGAGUGCAAGAAUAAGAAUACUAUAUUCUAUAUUCACUCGGUCGUGAAUCGAUCGAUUCGCGUAUAGAAACACAUACCUAUAUAUACAAUAUAUAUAUCCAACCAUAUAUAUAUAUAACACGGUAGAUACAUUAACAUUCGAUAAAGAGAUAAGACUAGCCGAGAGAGUUUAAAUCACGGAUGUAUGGAUGAUGAUGAUGAUGGUGCAGGAAUUUUGAUUAUUGAGAUUGGUGUCGUGCGAUAUGAAACAACGUUUAAAAAGAAUGCAUGUAUUUAUGCGGUAAAUACAUAAAAAAAUAAGGGAAAGGUAGAAGAAGGGAUUGUUGUUUCGUGUUGGAAAUAUUUCAUCCUCGGUUGUUACCGAAAUGGUCAUAGAUACGAGAAGAAGGAUGCUUGGAUUUGACGUGUUUAUUCUAAUCAAAGAAUUCAAUUCACAAAUCUGAAAGAAAAAGAAAAGAAAUAAGAAACCAAUUA